AACUCAUUCCUAUUUCUGACGCAGAUCGCGCUGAAAGUCCUGCCUCUCCCAUCUCCUCAUUGGUUUAUAGAAGCAGGUACCCACUGUUUUGCCGGUAGUUGUGGUAAUACAAUGAAAGUUUAGAUGUAAUCACCAUAUAAAUUAAACGAUGAAAAAGCCUGGAAGGAGGAGAGAUAACUAGAAACGAUUCGGUUGGCCAUUUUAUGUGUGGAUUAAUUGUCGGAGUAGAGGUCCUUGUGCAUUUCAGGGACUGAUGCCGUCACCAGGGCCCAGACUGGGGCCCCAGAGGGCACAGUGACAGGCCUGGAAUAGAGCUGGAGCACCCUGCCUUGCUCCUCUCUGCCGCCUGCUCUGCCAACCUCUCAGACAGACUGAUCCAACAUUCCUCACCCCUGAAGAUGGCACCCACAGGACUACUUUAUGACCCGAUAACGACCCGUUUCCAAGAAACAGCGGUGGAUGAUUGCUACUACAUUUCAUGUAUGAAAAAAGAAAAAGUCCAGACUCUCUGAAGUAUGUUGUCUGACUGUGAACUAGA